AUACGGAGGAUCCGAGUGUUAUCCGGAUUUAUUGGGUUUAAAGGGUGCGUAGGCGGUUUUAUAAGUCAGCGGUGAAAUUUUCCGGCUCAACCGGGAUACUGCCGUUGAUACUGUAAGGCUAGGAUAUGGUUGCUGUGGGUGGAAUAUGUGGUGUAGCGGUGAAAUGCUUAGAGAUCACACAGAAUAUCGAUUGCGAAGGCAGCUCACAAAGCCAUUAUUGACGCUGAGGCACGAAAGUGUGGGGAUC
rnacentral:rRNA from 1 species